UCAUCACCAGCAGUGAGGGACCGUUUACGUGCUGACGUCACUGCAGCGUCUCCUCGCCAGUCUCUGGAGUUUCUGUUACCGAUCCCUGAGUCUCUGGAACAUGGGGAACAAUGAGGAACUGGAUGAUGCCCGGCGAUGGGAACCAUGAGCGGGAGGCUGGAGACAACAGUCCAGACCAAGCGGCAGCUGCGCGGGAGACUUCUGCUCCUCAGUGUGUUUCCUGGUCCUCUCUGUCUGAGUGAACAAAAUCCAGCUCGGAUCAGAACUACACCAUCCGAAACCAGCAAGAAACGGUGACAAAGAAGCUGCUGCUUCUGAAACAGUUGCCUGGGUUACCAAUGUUGGUGUGUUGGCUUUCCAGGAUGGCGGCCGGAUUGAUGACACCACAUCUUGGAGCUGGACCCCCGGAGGAGCCUGUUGUCUCAUUGAGGCAUAGCGGUCCAAGCUGGAGGGGAAGCACAGGAUGCUCGGCCUGACUGUUGCCAAGGUGAUCCGGAGGCUCCACUGUUGGAGGAGGACACAUGGGGCAGAGGAGACGUCCUCCUCAUCCAGGAUCUCCACGUCACCCUGGACGUCUCUUUGCUGGACUCUCUCUGCAUCCAGGACACAGUGCAGUGGAGCAUUUAGCAGUUAAAGAGGAACUGGUGGAGACCAAACACGGAGCUAAAAGAGAGGGAACACUGGGCUUUCCACAUCAAUCAUAAUGUUUCUCCCUUACUGCUGGCUGUGUAAAUAAGGAACUAUUUGCCAUAUCAACUUAAAAGGUGAUGAUACGUCAGUGUUACGUUCACAACUUGUUUCCACUGCCCCCUAGUACCCCAAAAAAGUUACUACAGGUUUAACAAACCCAGUUUCAGACUGGGUGUAACUUCCUCAUUGUGUAACAUCUGUCAGCAGGAGAGAUUUGAUCACUACUUCUGAUUUCUAAGCACAUGACUACUCUUUCAGAUGGCACCAAAUUAUAGCCGAGUUUCCACAAGAGUGCAGCAAAAGUGUCUAUAAAUACAGGUCUUCUCUGUCCUGAGGAGUCGUAUUUCGGUUUGACACAGAAUCUGUUUGAUUGUUAAUCUCUAAAAGAGAUACACACUGCUGUACCUCAGUGUUUUCUCACAGUGUUAUGGAAAAGUUAUAUAUAUAUAUAUUUAAUAUAUACACUGUAUAUUUAAACCCACUUAAAAACUUUCUAGUUUGGUCCCUGCACAAGUCAAAUAAAUCAUUUUAAAUGUGUAGCGGUUCCCAACCAUGAAAUGGUGCAGGACCUCCACCAUCUGGUGAGGACACUGGUCAGACUGGUUUGACAAAGAUGGCUGAACACCCCAUUUGGUCUCAGCAGGGUGAAUCUCCAUCACGGUACCUCCGGCUCUCCCUCUCUCUAAAUGUCUCUUUUCUUUUCCAGACGAAUCAGUGACAAAACCAAUCCUCGUACCCAAGCUUCAUUUCUGUUCUGAUCCGGUUUGGUUUGGUUUAGACAACUUAAACUGCUCAAUUAAGGUUGGGAAAGGUCGUCUUCAUGGUUGAAAGAAACGAUAAUGAUAGAAUAGUGUAAUUUGACUGAGGGUCAUAAAUGUAACCUGCUAACCAAGAAGAACUUCAGUUUCUGGGCCAUGAGCAUUGACACCCUGCAUAAAAUCACUGUUUUAUAAUUUUGCAGUUAAUAGAAACAAAAAUAUACGUCAGUAAAACACUUGAGAUGUGUAACUGGUCAUACUGUUAGCCUGUACAAGAGCAGCACUUGGGCCAAGGAAAUACUGUUUAGGCUGUGGUGGUGAGCCAGAGGUGUGAGCCCCACUGUAUUGUCAAUAAAUCAACUGAACUUCAAAUAAGCAUUUUCUCCUGUCCUUUUGUAGAGGAAUGUUCAGUUUAAGAUAGGAAGCACUGAAGCUCCUUUCCUUAUCAUUUAAAAUUUUUGACCAGCUCUUAUCAUGGCUGCUUCUCAGUCCCACAUAAAUGUAGAAACAACAGAGCAUGAUCCAAAAAACAUUUGGGAAUCCAUAAAUACAGAUUUCUUCUCUUUGAAAUCCACUUAGGAGACAUCAUGAAGAACAAGCACAUCAUCUUGAUCAUCAUCAUAACAAUCCAUACUUCCGAAACCCCGCUCACUGCACUCAAACAUUACUCAACAAAUGUAUAAAAAGUCAAAACUCUAUAUAGCCUACUUAUGUCUGAAUAUAAUUCACUGUGGUCCCGACUCAGUUGCUUAUUUUUAUUUUAUUAUUUUAAUUGCUCAAUUCUUUGUACUUGUACAUUUCUUUAAUGUUAUAUUACUUCAAUUUAAAUACUUCAAUCCUGUUUGUUUUGUUUUUGAGGUUAGGAAGGGAGUAUUGUCCAUGUGUUAUAAAUAAAGUUAGU